GUUACUCUCUUGUUGCCCAGGCUGGAUUGUAAUGGUGCAAUCUCGGCUCACUGCAACUCCACCUCCCACGUGCAAAUGAUUCUCCUGCCUCAGCUUCCCGAUUAACUGGGAUUACAGGCACUCGCCACCACACGUAGCUAGUUUUUGUAUUUUUUCAGUAGAGACGGGAUUUCACCAUGUUGGCCAGGCCGGUUUCACACUCCUGACCUUAGGCGAUCCACCUGACUCGGCCUCCCAAAGUGCUGGGAUUACAGGCGUGAGCCACUGCACCUGGCCUCUAAAGUAUUUUAAAGUAAACUUCCACUCCUGCUUUGAAACUUGCCUCAGUCUCUUUUUCUGUCUUGUGCCCCUCAGUUGACUUCUUUCUUCUGAGGAGGCAAGAAUUGAGGUUGCGGCAGACCUGUACGGAUUCGCCGCGGGGAACUUGGAUACCUUCCACUGGUCACACUGUCUGGCACACGGCGCAUGAUGAAGGAGCUCACCGGCCUCACCCAAGCUCGCAGCAUUGUGCCAGGAAAGGAUGUUCUCGGCUCCGGCCUCUUUCCUCCUCUCCUGGGGACAGAACAUGGAUCCUGGAAGGCAUUGAGGACCCUGUGCUCAGCCCCUGCCCAUCCCUUCCACCACUUAUCUGUCCUGUAGGCACACUGACGCGGCUUUCACAAAAUGGGAGGCUCUGAGAGAAGGAGUGUCACUCUGUCUCUCAGGCUGGAGUGCAGUGGUAUGAUCUCGGCUCACUGAAACCUCCGCCUCCCGGGUUCAAGCAAUUCUCCUGCCUCAACCUCCCGAGUAGCUGGCUCUACAGGCCCUCUCCACCAUGCCUGGCUAAUUUUUGUAUUUUUAGUAAAGACCAGGUUUCACCAUGUUGGCCAGGCUGAUCUCAAACUCCUGACCUCGUGAUCGGCCUGCCUUGGCCUCCCAAAGUGCUGGGAUUACGGGUGUGAGCCACCGUGUCCGGCCUAAGUGUUUUAAUUUUAAUAUAUUUUAAAAUCAAAGGAAAAAAGAAUAUGGUAAUGAAUAUGCGUAACUGAAUCCAGCUUAGUUAUAUUUGUAUUUACACCAAUACAGUCAUAAAAUGUGAUAUUUGCU